UACGGAGGGGACUAGCGUUGUUCGGAAUUACUGGGCGUAAAGCGCACGUAGGCGGAUUGUUUAGUCAGGGGUGAAAUCCCGAGGCUCAACCUCGGAACUGCCUUUGAUACUGGCAAUCUCGAGUCCGGAAGAGGUGAGUGGAAUUCCUAGUGUAGAGGUGAAAUUCGUAGAUAUUAGGAAGAACACCAGUGGCGAAGGCGGCUCACUGGACCACAACUGACGCUGAGGCGCGAAAGCUAGGGGAGCAAACAGG
rnacentral:rRNA from 1 species